rnacentral:tRNA from 1 species
GGCGGUAUAGUGUUUAACGGUCAAGCACAGCGGACUUUUAAUCCGCCAAGUGUCGGUUCGAAUCCGACUGCCGCCACCA